AUACGGAGGAUGCGAGCGCUAUCCGGAUUUAUUGGGUUUAAAGGGAGCGUAGGUGGGAUAUUAAGUCAGCUGUGAAAGUUUGGGGCUCGACCUUAAAAUUGCAGUUGAUACUGGUUUCCUUGAGUACGGUAUAGGUGGGCGGAAUUCGUGGUGUAGCGGUGAAAUGCUUAGAUAUGACGAAGAACACCGAUUGCGUAGGCAGCUGACCAGACCGCAAAUGACGCUCAUGCACGAAAGUGCGGGGAUCGAACAGGAUUAGAUACCCUGGUAGUCCGCACAGUAAACGAUGAAUACUUGUUUUCGGCGAUAUAAUGUCGGAGGCAAAGCGAAAGCGAUAAGUAUUCCACCUGGGGAGUACGCCGGCAACGGUGAAACUUAAAGGAAUCGGCGGGG
rnacentral:rRNA from 1 species